rnacentral:tRNA from 1 species
GCCGGGAUGGUGGAAUUGGUAGACACGUCAGACUUAAAAUCUGAUGACCUCUGGUCGUGCGGGUUCAAGUCCCGCUCCUGGUA